AUCCCCUGGCAAUGGGCAAAAAGACAUCUCAUUGGUGGUAGUGUUCUUGUAUCAGCCAGGGACAGAGCGGAUGGCAGGCCUUUGUUCAUCCUAUCUUGAUUCCCAACUUGGUGGCCAAAGCUGUUUCAUACGUAGGGCGCAUUA